UACGUAGGGUGCGAGCGUUAAUCGGAAUUACUGGGCGUAAAGCGUGCGCAGGCGGUUUUGUAAGUCUGUCGUGAAAUCCCCCGGGCUCAACCUGGGGAAUUGCGAUGGAGACUGCAAGGCUAGAAUCUGGCAGAGGGGGGGGUAGAAUUCCACGUGUAGCAGUGAAAUGCGUAGAGAUGUGGAGGAACACCGAUGCGAAGGCAGCCCCCUGGGUCAAGAUUGACGCUCAUGCACGAAA
rnacentral:rRNA from 1 species